UAGCUCAGUGGUAGAGCGUGUGCUUAGCAUGCAUGAGGUCCUGGGUUCAAUCCCCAG
rnacentral:tRNA from 1 species